AUGAAACAAUGCUCGAAAAACUCAAUUUCAAACAUGUCUGGCACGAAAGGGAACAACAAAGUAAUGCCAACUGAAAUAUCUUUCGAAAUCAAAAUCAAUCGGUCAACACAAGUCAUCCAAGUCUCCUUACAGUCAAAAUCAAUCGGUCAACACAAGUCAUCCAAGUCUCCUUACAAUCGAAUUAAACAAAGUGACGCAACAUUAAACUCAAAUCAAGAUACAAACCAACAAUAUUGA